rnacentral:rRNA from 1 species
AUGAACGCUGGCGGCGUGCCUAAUACAUGCAAGUCGCGCGAACGGACGAGAAGCUUGCUUCUCUGAUGUUAGCGGCGGACGGGUGAGUAACACGUGGAUAACCUACCUAUAAGACUGGGAUAACUUCGGGAAACCGGAGCUAAUACCGGAUAAUAUUUUGAACCGCAUGGUUCAAAAGUGAAAGACGGUCUUGCUGUCACUUAUAGAUGGAUCCGCGCUGCAUUAGCUAGUUGGUAAGGUAACGGCUUACCAAGGCAACGAUGCAUAGCCGACCUGAGAGGGUGAUCGGCCACACUGGAACUAAGACACGGUCCAGACUCCUACGGGAGGCAGCAGUAGGGAAUCUUCCGCAAUGGGCGAAAGCCUGACGGAGCAACGCCGCGUGAGUGAUGAAGGUCUUCGGAUCGUAAAACUCUGUUAUUAGGGAAGAACAUAUGUGUAAGUAACUGUGCACAUCUUGACGGUACCUAAUCAGAAAGCCACGGCUAACUACGUG